AUGAACAAUGCAAUGACGUAAUGCACUUUUACCCAAUACAACUGUUCCUCCCUUUUCCUUUCUGAUUGUGAAUCUUCAUCUCUCUUAUUUCGUGACUCCUGAUGUACAUUUCCAAAAAGAUUUGGGCUUAUAUAGCUUGGAUAAUGUGGAGAUUGUAAUGGCUCUAGAACAAGAGUUCAAGCUUGAGAUUCCUAACAAGGAAGCUGAUAAGAUUGAUUCUGCAAAUCUGGCCAUUGAGUACAUCUAUAACCAUCCAAUGGCUUCGUAACUACCUUUAGCAGCAGGCUUGCCUCAUUACAUGAGCUGUUGAAAUGUAUUUUUGUUAUCGAUCAUGUGACAUUUGUAGGAAUUUGCUCAUCAUGUGGGCUGGAAAGAAAGAGAGUAUUCUUCCUGGAACUGUUGUUUAAACAUCUUU
rnacentral:lncRNA from 1 species